CUCCUGCAUCCUGGGCACUUCUCCACUCCAAUGUGACAGCAGUGAAUCAAACGACAGCUAGCCCUGCCCGCAGGCACUUGCAUUCCAGAGAGAGGAGACAAAGAAUACAAAACUAAAAAUAUAAAAGACGAUGUGCCACACGUUGGAAAGCGAUACAUACUCUGGAGGAAGCAACCCAUACAUGACAGAUACUGCUAUUAUAACUCAGCACCAUCCAUUCAGUCAUCGUGUGGUCUUCAUCUUUUGAAGCCUCAUUUUCUCAUCUGUAGAACUUGCCAUGAAGCUUUGUUACCAUGACGUCACAUGCUAUCCAUGGGGUUUUGUUGCUGUUACAGAGGUCCCCGUGAUAUGCUGUCCUGCAUUUCUAGACAUGUCUUUGGUUUGGAAGCCUGACACCACCAAAAGAGAACUGCAGUGCAAAUGGUUUUGAAAUCCUCCACUAAUCAUCCUAGAAGCUCAGCUAGUUCCAGGGCCUUCCAUAAUUCCAAUUCCAAAGGACUUCAUAUCAAAACAUUCUUUGCUUGUUUUGCUACCCCCCAAGAUUGCAUUUAUCCCUUCUCUGGAGAUUUUAACAGUUGGUGAGCUACCCUAGGCUCUGGUGGCACCUUCUAUAAGUGACCCUUGACCUUCCACUUUCCUGAACUGAUGAAAACAUAGCUGUGUUAGCUCAAAUAAAUAUUUCCUAACUGCCUGCUUUGGGGAAAAUGCUGUGUGAAAUGCUUGAUGGAUUUAUUUAUUCAACACCUGUUUAUGAAGUGUUGAUUAUGUGCUAG
rnacentral:lncRNA from 1 species